GACGAACGCUGGCGGCGUGCUUAACACAUGCAAGUCGAACGGAAAGGCCCUGCUUUUGUGGGGUGCUCGAGUGGCGAACGGGUGAGUAACACGUGAGUAACCUGCCCUUGACUUUGGGAUAACUUCAGGAAACUGGGGCUAAUACCGGAUAGGAGCUCCUGCUGCAUGGUGGGGGUUGGAAAGUUUCGGCGGUUGGGGAUGGACUGGCGGCUUAUCAGCUUGUUGGUGGGGUAGUGGCUUACCAAGGCUUUGACGGGUAGCCGGCCUGUGAGGGGGGCCGGGCACAUUAGGACUGAGAUACGGCCCAGACUCCUACGGGAGGCAGCAGUGGGGAAUCUUGCACAAUGGGAGGGAGCCUGAUGCAGCAACGCCGCGUGCGGGAUGACGGCCUGCGGGUUGUAAACCGCUUUCGCCUGUGACGAAGCGUGAGUGACGGUAAUGGGUAAAGAAGCACCGGCUAACUACGUG
rnacentral:rRNA from 1 species